rnacentral:rRNA from 1 species
GAGGGGGGGAGAGGCCCCACCCACCGGGGGGGGAGAUGCGGCCGCGUCAUAGAGAAGAGAAAUCAUCGUCCUCGUUCGUGAGCUGGUUGUGCGACGAGUCCAUCUCGUAAACGACGAGCUUCUCCGCCGUCACGCCGGCGCUAGUGGCAUUGUUGAACAAGUAGAGUCCCGACUUCUCAUAGAUGGCCUCCAUGGGGUACACCCGCGACGUCAUCGUGGUCCUCCCGCCCAUGGCGAACCCCUGCACGAUGGAGUGGUCGACGAGCACCCUCAUCGAAAAGGCCUCGCCUUCGAGCACCGGCACCGUGCUCCCGAUCACCCGCUUCGUCACGUCUCUGGCCCGGGACGACCGCGUCUCGUCUUGGCAGAAGCUGGUCUUGAGGCCUCCGUCGAGGCCCCUGGACACGUAGAAGUACACCGCGGUCUGCUCGCCACGGCGAUCACCGGCAGCGAGGAUGAGGAGGCCGAAGGGGCCUAGGGCGCCGCGUGUGGCAGCACCGCCGCUGCUGCUGCAGUUGUAGGUCACGUCGGCCUCGUUGAGGGCAGCAACGGCAGAAGCGUCGAGGUGGAAAGUGGCCUCGAUGUCGAGCUGAGUGGCUUGGCGGAUGGGGACAUGGAGGACAGAGCCGGCGGUAAUGGUGGUGUCGUUAAGCUCGGUGGCAUUGAGACGGAGGGUCUCAAUCUCCUCCACUGGCCACAGGAGAAGGUUGGUCCGGGUCUUCUCGUCUAGAACCACAGUCCUUGGAACUGACUGAAUGGAGGCCCAUCCCUUCACGACGUCGGCGCGCUUGGGGUCGACCUCGCCGACGUACCCCAUGAGCACGCGCCGCUGCUUAGACGGAUCAUAGAAGCUGGUGGAGGCAUAAAACUUACCCCAAUCGUAUCUCAGCCCGAUCCCCAAGUCAGCCUCCGGGUCAAUCGGCGUCCACGUGUUGGCCACCCUGUCGUACGUCCCUAGCGAGUAGUAGUCGUGCCGUUCAUCGUCCAUGCUCGCCUUCAACACAUGCAACACCUCCGAUGAGUUGUCGAUCCCGCCGAAGGGGGUAAGAAGUCGAUGCCCUCCCAAUUCCCCGGUGGUUAAGGGACCCGAUGGCAAGAUGGAGAUGCGGCCGCGUCAUAGAGAAGAGAAAUCAUCGUCCUCGUUCGUGAGCUGGUUGUGCGACGAGUCCAUCUCGUAAACGACGAGCUUUCUCCGCCGUCACGCCGGCGCUAGUGGGAUUGGUGAAAAAAUAAAGUCCCCACUUUUCUCAUAUGGGCCCUCGAGGGGGUACACCCGCGACGUCAUCGUGGUCCUCCCGCCCAUGGCGAACCCCUGCACGAUGGAGUGGUCGACGAGCACCCUCAUCGAAAAGGCCUCGCCUUCGAGCACCGGCACCGUGCUCCCGAUCACCCGCUUCGUCACGUCUCUGGCCCGGGACGACCGCGUCUCGUCUUGGCAGAAGCUGGUCUUGAGGCCUCCGUCGAGGCCCCUGGACACGUAGAAGUACACCGCGGUCUGCUCGCCACGGCGAUCACCGGCAGCGAGGAUGAGGAGGCCGAAGGGGCCUAGGGCGCCGCGUGUGGCAGCACCGCCGCUGCUGCUGCAGUUGUAGGUCACGUCGGCCUCGUUGAGGGCAGCAACGGCAGAAGCGUCGAGGUGGAAAGUGGCCUCGAUGUCGAGCUGAGUGGCUUGGCGGAUGGGGACAUGGAGGACAGAGCCGGCGGUAAUGGUGGUGUCGUUAAGCUCGGUGGCAUUGAGACGGAGGGUCUCAAUCUCCUCCACUGGCCACAGGAGAAGGUUGGUCCGGGUCUUCUCGUCUAGAACCACAGUCCUUGGAACUGACUGAAUGGAGGCCCAUCCCUUCACGACGUCGGCGCGCUUGGGGUCGACCUCGCCGACGUACCCCAUGAGCACGCGCCGCUGCUUAGACGGAUCAUAGAAGCUGGGUGAGGCAUAAAACUUACCC